ensembl:lncRNA
UGGAAAUGGAGCAGUCUGGAUAUUAAGGGAUGAACUUGACGAGGCUGUUGAGGCAUCAGGUGGACACUCAGAGACUUUUGUCAGCCUUCUUAACGAGGCAGAAUUGCCUCACUUCCUCAGAUAUGGAAAUGCCUCUUUGUUAAAGCAAGGCCCCGUCCCUUAUCUCUGGGUUUGGACAGCUCUGCUUUUGGCACUUUGCUGUGUGAAAGGACUCCACGCACCUCAACGUGCACACAAAGCCAGGAUCCAACGGGGGAAAAGUUUGCAACUCAGGAUUGGCUCCGAGCAGAGCAGGAGUGACCCCAUAUGGGGACACUGCAGGGCUCCUUCAGGACGGAGCUGCCUGGAGCACCUCUAUAUAUGGGGGGGAAACCCACAGAAGUCUGAUGGAUCCCCCGCAAGUUCCCUUCUGUUGUGUUGAAUGUGAAUGUUGCUGCUGCCAUUUUGAGGAUAAAUGGGCAUUUUCCCAUGGAACAGCCAAACUGAACUUCUGCCUCUGUAGACCUGGGCUGUUCCAGGUCUCACAACGACCUGCUCAACCAGGAGUUGGUUUUUGGAGGUGGGAGGAGGUCCAUCGUACUCCCUCUUUUCCACCAUUGUUGUUCCAAUGGCAUCAAAGGAGAAAGCACGCACGGGCUGGAAAUAGCCAGGACAGGUCAGUGGUGGUUCUCCAACCCAAAAACCAAAACCCAUCUCGUCAUCAAAGAACCAUAGGAUGGUUGGGUUGGAAGGGACCUCAAAG